UACGUAGGGUGCGAGCGUUGUCCGGAAUUAUUGGGCGUAAAGGGCUCGUAGGCGGUCUGUUGCGUCGGGAGUGAAAACUCAGGGCUUAACCCUGAGCCUGCUUCCGAUACGGGCAGACUAGAGGUAUGCAGGGGAGAACGGAAUUCCUGGUGUAGCGGUGAAAUGCGCAGAUAUCAGGAGGAACACCGGUGGCGAAGGCGGCAUCCUGGCCUGUUCUUGACGCUGAGGCGCGAAAGCUAGGGGAGCAAACGGG
rnacentral:rRNA from 1 species